GACGAACGCUGGCGGCGUGCCUAAUACAUGCAAGUAGAACGCUGAAGGAGGAGCUUGCUUCUCUGGAUGAGUUGCGAACGGGUGAGUAACGCGUAGGUAACCUGCCUGGUAGCGGGGGAUAGCUAUUGGAAACGAUAGCUAAUACCGCAUAAGAGUAGAUGUUGCAUGACAUUUGCUUAAAAGGUGCACUUGCAUCACUACCAGAUGGACCUGCGUUGUAUUAGCUAGUUGGUGGGGUAACGGCUCACCAAGGCGACGAUACAUAGCCGACCUGAGAGGGGGAUCGGCCACACUGGGACUGAGACACGGCCCAGACUCCUACGGGAGGCAGCAGUAGGGAAUCUCCGGCAAUGGACGGAAGUCUGACCGAGCAACGCCGCGUGAGUGAAGAAGGGUUUCGGAUCGUAAAGCUCUGUUGUAAGAGAAGAACGAGGGUGAGAGUGGAAAGUUCACACUGUGACGGUAUCUUACCAGAAAGGGACGGCUAACUACGUG
rnacentral:rRNA from 1 species